rnacentral:rRNA from 1 species
UACGUAGGGGGCAAGCGUUGUCCGGAAUCAUUGGGCGUAAAGAGCGUGUAGGCGGCUUGGCAAGUCUGACGUGAAAUCCCGCGGCUCAACCGCGGUAGGUCGUUGGAAACUGCCUCGCUAGAGUCCGGAAGAGGAGAGCGGAAUUCCUGGUGUAGCGGUGGAAUGCGCAGAUAUCAGGAAGAACACCUAUGGCGAAGGCAGCUCGCUGGGACGGUACUGACGCUGAGGCGCGAAAGCGUGGGGAGUGAACAGG